rnacentral:misc_RNA from 1 species
UACGGAGGGUGCAAGCGUUGUCCGGAUUUAUUGGGUUUAAAGGGUGCGUAGGCGGGACUUUAAGUCCGUGGUGAAAGCCCAUCGCUCAACGAUGGAACUGCCAUGGAUACUGGAGUCCUUGAAUUCAGUUGAGGUAGGCGGAAUUGAUGGUGUAGCGGUGAAAUGCAUAGAUACCAUCAGGAACUCCGAUUGCGAAGGCAGCUUACUGGGCUUGAAUUGACGCUGAGGCACGAAAGCGUGGGUAGCGAACAGG